AUUUAAUUUCAAAAAUGUCACAACAUAGUUGUUCGUCUCAAGAAGUUGGUUCAAAAUGGACGUGUUUAUGUUGAUUGACUGCCCAUUACUUUAUGGCUUACAGUCCAUGCAACGAUGGUCGGAGAUUCUACAAAUGUUCUAAACUGAUGUGAGUUACUUUAUAAGGAGAUUGAAGAACCCUAAGAUUUGGGGAUGGAUG
rnacentral:lncRNA from 1 species